rnacentral:lncRNA from 1 species
AAGAAUCUAGAUUUCUCUUUAUUUUUCUGCAUUCUCAUCAGCCAAAAAACGUCCUAAGGGUUUCUCCAAGCUGGUUUUUCAUAUUUUCUGCACCAAGUGAGUUAAUCCUUGCCUUUUUCUUGUAAUUUAUGCGUUUCUAAGACUUUUACAACUAGGUCCUAUUACUAAAUUCAUUAGUUUUUGAUUUUAUGAAUGAUAUUGAAAGUUGAUAUGAAUAUGUGCUGGAAGUUUAUGAGGAAAUAGGAUGAAAUUGAUGCUUUAAUUUGUUUAUGAGAUGAUUUUAUUAGGUAAUUCCAAUAGAAAUUGAUUUGUAGGACCUAAUUGUGAAAAAGUUUGGAAUUAAAGUUUAGUGCUGAAAUUCUGAUUUUCAAAGGUUAUAAGGUAGUUUAAAGUGAUAUAAUAAAGUGUUGAUUGAGAAAAAUCAGCUCAAUUGAGAGGUUAAUUGAGCAGGGACGAAAUUAUCAUUGUUGAAAGUUAAAGGGAAAAAUGGUAAUUAACACCAUGCACUAAAACAGUUUUAGACAGCAGCAGUACUCUGACUUUGAAAAUUCACCAAAAAUUGUAGAGAUCGAAUUAGAGGAUGAAUAAAAUAUUAAAUUAAAGCUUAUUGAGUCUAGUUUCUUAUAAAAGAAACGGUGUAAGCAAUGGAAUUGUAAAUCAUGAGAUAUAAUAGAUUUUGUGAGACAAGGUCAGAAUGAAUUUGGGUUCCCCUGUUCUGACUUUGGAAAAUCAUUAAAAAUUGUACAAAAAUGAUUAUGAGUUAUAAUUUAUAUUCUUAGAAUUCUUAAUGAAUCUAUUUUCUGAAUAAAUAAAGGGAAGCAUCAUCCUAAUUCUGUACAAUGAGAUAAUUAAUUUUUAGUGAAGAGGGGUCAGAACUGUCAUAUAGUGAAACAAGGGAAACUUUAAGGAAUAAACUGUACUUAUUGGCUAAACCAAAAAUUCUGAAAUUUUUAUGGUAAUAAGAUAUGUGAGUCUAGUUUUAGGUAAAAUUAACGGAUCUUAAUUUGGAGUUCUGUAGCUCAAGAUAUAAAUAAUUUAGUGACUGUGACUCAGUGAGGCAGCUUUGAAUGCACUAUAAAUAAUAAUGGAAUUGUAGAGAAAGUUACAUAUGAACAUGAAAUGUAUGAGAUUAAUGAUUAAAUUUAUUUAUUUAGAUCCGGAAAAUUCAAAUACGAAGCAAGAUCGAGGAAAAGAAAAAGUUCGGGAUUAGUAGAUUUUUGGUUACGAACAAGUGUCGAGGUAAGUUCGUGUAACUUGAAUUAUAUUCAUAAAUGCUUGAAAUGUUUGUUAUUGAUGUGAAAAUGAGUUGGAUGUUUAUUGUAUGAUAAUUGAUGAAGUAUUGAUAUUCUUGAUGAAAAGAGGAAAUAAAUCCCGGUUGAAUGAAAGGAAAAUUCGAUGGAUCUCUGAAAAGGAAUUGACGGUAAAAAGGAUCUAGCCCGGACGGGUGAUCCUAUCCUGAUAUAGCCCUCCCGAAGAAUAUGUGGAAAAUGGAUUUAGCCCGGACGGGUAAUCCGAAUUAGGGUCUGAAUUUAGCCUGGACUGGUAAUUCAGAUCCAAGCUCAUUAGAGUAAUUGUCGUUGCAGGGGAUUUAGCCUGGACUGGUAAUCCCGACAAUACUCUGUGAGUUUAUAUUACAGGGGAUUUAGCCUGGACUGGUAAUCCCGCUGUAAGGAUGAGGUUCGCGGGAGUGUGCUCUCUGAAAUGGAAAUGUGCGCACAUGAAUAUGAAUUGACGGACCUGGAUUUGUACACUUAGGUGUACCCCUGAAUAUCCAUCGAAAUUCCAAGUAUUUCAACGGGAUAAAUAUGGAAAAAUAACAAGGAAAUGGAAAUCAUGGAAUUGAUGAGCUCAUCAAUCAUUUAUCUUUGUAAUGAAUUUGUAUGAGGUUGAGUUUGUAUGUGAUAGGUAUAUGUUUAUGUGAAUUGGAUGUGUGCUUGUGUUAUUAAAUGAUGGAUGUAUAAGUAUGGUAAGUAUAACUCCUGUUGCAUGAACUUACUAAGCACAAAGUGCUUACCCUGUUUCUUUUUCCCCUGUUUGUAGAGUUAAGAGCUCGGAAGUCAGAUUUGGUCGGAGACACAUCACACUAUCAAUCUCGAGAUCUCGGUACAUAAAUGAACUUUAUUUUGGAAAUCAAUGGCAUAUAUAAGCUAGUGAAUUAGAUGUUAAUGUGAAAUGAAUGUAUGGUUAGCCAUUGGUGUGGCUAACAAAUUUUGGUUUUCGUAUGUGAUGAAAUUACCUUAUGAAUAUGAUAAAUCUAUCUUGAAAAAAAAAAUUCGGUAAAAUCUGGUAAUACCUCAUACUCUAUUUCAGCGACGAAUACGGGUAGGGGGUAUUACAAAAUUUACUAGAAUUAUUAUUAAAUUUAAUAAUAAAUAAUUUACUUAUAUUUUAAUAUAAUUAUUACCAAAUAUAAUUUAAUAAAAAUAAAAAUAAAAAUAAAUAAUUUAAUAACAUUCUUAAUAUAAUUAUUAUUAAAAUAUGAAUUAAUAAAAAUCAUAACAUAAUCUCAUGGGAUCAUAGUUGCCAAUAUUACAAAUAUUGAUCCAAAAACAAUAAUUAUUCUCAUUUUUAUAUAUAUGAAAAAUAUUAAACAUCUAUACACCAAACAAACCCCAGCAAGCAGAACUCUAUUUUAACUUCUCUAUAUUUUUCCCUAACCUAUUAACAUCAAUUCCAAAAAUAUUCCCCCAAAAAUAUCAAAAAAGAAAAAGGGUCAUGUUGCUGCCAUUGAUGUAUCUUCAAUCUAAAUCACUUUCCAUACUCCCCAUGGCCUUCAAUUAACUUGAUCUCUGCAUCUUGCCAAAACCCCACAUCAGAAACAUGAAUCGGCUUUUUCCACAAACCUAUAAUAGAAAGCAAAAUGUCAAAUCAUGGCACCUUGCUGGCAAAAAAGCAAUGAAGAAAAAAAUCACCUUUAAAAUAUAUACACAUAUAUAUACACACACAAAAAUAAAAAGUGGGUGGAGGAUAACAAUAAGACUUAAGCUAAUUUAGAAACAAACUACAAUGAAAUAGUUCUAAAUAGAAGUCAACAAAUUUAAGUUAAUAGUAGUAAUAAGAUAUUCAUGCCAAUGAGUUUAUAACAAAAGAUCGACAAAAACACUAUGAUUUGUCAAUAACCACAAAAUUGUUAUAAGUGACACUGCAAUUAGCCUCAAAACAAAUCUUAUGCCACCAUAAAAAAAGAUACAAGGAGAGGCUCUAUCUACUUGGUUCUAGAUCCAAAUGGUAAGAAUAGAAGACAUGAUAAUGGAUCACAUUAGGAAUGAGGUGCAUUUUAAUAGAGUUUGAAUUGCCAAAUUUAAGAUAUAUUCUUAUCACAUCGAGUAUGAGGCGCAUCUUAAUAGAGUUUGAAUUACCAAAUUUAAGUUAUAAAUCAGGUUGCUAAAUCAAGAUUAGAUACGAUUUAUCCAUCUAACAGUGCUAGGAUUUACUUGUAUCAAAAAUCAAAUCAGGACCAAUCCAGAAAGAACUAAUAACUUUCAUAAUAAUGAACACCCCUACAUACACCAUGCUCAACACUUGUAACCAAGUUUUUCUUGCCUAUGUUUAGGUUGUUUAAAAGGUUGCAAUUUUGAACAUGUUUUCUAGUAUAGAAUUUUAAGAAGCAAUAAAAAGAUAUAGGACCAAAGUGCCCUGGCAACAAAAUACCAGUAAACGUAACUAAUACAAGUUACAAUGAAGCCCAUCAUACUGGAGGCAGAACAAGUUCAUCUUCAUCCUCCCAUGAUUCCUUGAUAUCAGAGUCAUCAAUAUCUUUAUCAUCCCAUUUGCUUUUAAGUUGUUCCUUUGUAAGGAGAGGUGGAAUCUCAUCCUCUGCAACAAUAGCAUACAACUUCUUGAGCAAAAAAAGGGGGGGUUUCAAGAAAAUGAAACCAUGAAUAAAAUGAAUGACAUAAUGCAAUAGGUUCUCCAACUAAGAUUGGAAACAUACCAUAAUCUUUAGCACUUAUUAACAACUUAGAAACAUAUGAAAUACAUAAUAGAAAUGAAUCUUCUUUAAGGUCUCUUUACACUUUAAAACUCCUAUACAAAACUACGAGGCGACCAUCAGAUAAUGUUUCAAGAAAAGAACUAGUGAAUCCCAGCAAUUGAAGCCAAUACUAAAUUCCUAGGAUGUUGCCACAAUUACUGAUCUUCCACUACAUGCAGUUUUUCUUUUUAAUCGAAAGAAAAAAAAACCCUAAAUUUCUCUUUUUGGUCUGGUAACACCAUAGCCGAUCUCCCAAGAAACUCAAAGCAAACACCUUUGAAACAUCUCAACUCAACCUCAUAAAAUCCAAAACCAAAAACAAGUAAAAGCCUUAAAUUUCAAUAAACCCAAUAAACAUUUAGCUCUAAAAAAAAAAGAAGUUUCCCACAUUCAAGUUCAUACAUAAUAAAACAUACAAAAGAAAAUAGAAUCACUUAUCAGUCAAAGCCCUAAGAAUUAACAACAAAUUCGGGCUAAAAUUAAAACUUAUCCUAGUCUUCCAUCUUUACUUAACAACAACUUGCCUUGUUAUCUUUCCAGCAUUUGUGAAAUAAAAGCAAUGAAAUCAAAUAGGAGAAAUCAGAAAUGCAGUGAAAAAGUAAAAAAAAAAAAAAGAAGGAAAAAAGGGUUGCAACUCUGCAACCAAAGGGUUUUAUUGGCUUAAAAGGAAUGAUGGCUUCAAUAGAUUGACCUAGGUCUCCUCUGUAAUCAAAGGGAAAAAAAAGGAAACGUAGAGAUGGGAAGAAAAGAAAGUUACAGUUUCUUCAUUAUUUCGGCAAAUGUGAGGGGAAAAAUUAAAAUUGGGGGAAAAAUAAUCUUAUUCCAUGCAUUGAAUGACAAUUCAGCGAUGAGCGAAGGGAAUGGCUAUUCAGCCAAUUCCUGUAAUAGACCCUGAAUCAAUUUAGGCUCGUAAUACCAUUACAGUUAACCAAACUAAUAUCAGGUGAUGGGACCGCCGGGCUAGAAUCUACUCAUAAACCCCUAACCAAACAUGUUAUUAGUCUUUCACCAUUGAAAUAAGAAAAAAAAAAUCUUGAGAAACCAUUGUUAAGCCUCCAAGGUUUGGCUAGGACCUUUGCAUGUAAGUUAAUUUUAUACCCAUUUUUUAUGAAUUUUAUAUUUUUGAAAUCAUUGUAUUUUAAUUUAGCUAGCCCAUGGACUAUUUUGAAAUAUUGUUAAAGUUUUUAAAGUUACUAUUGAUGUUCUUGAAGCUUUUUAGAUUUUAAUGGUUGAGUUUGAAGCUUGGUGUUGAAAUAAGACUAUUUUGUAAAGUGGAUUUGGAUAGAUUUAAGUUUAAGGACUAAAUCGAAAGUAUGUUAAUUUUGGCAUGAAUUUCUUGUAAAAUUUCAGUACUUGAGGGUUUUAUAAGGAUGGUAAUGAAUUCGACAUGAUGGUUUAGGGCUUAAUUGUGAAAAGUAAGCUUGUUUCGAUUUUAAGGGAUAAAUUGAACAAAAUGUAAAAUUUUAGGGAAUUUGUGAAAAUGUUAAUAGGAAGUCAUAGGCAUUAAAUUGAAUGUUAUAAUGUAAUUGAGGCUGAUGAAUUGAAAUAAAAUUACUGUAUAGAUCAAGAACUGGUAGGUAAUCGUGGAAAAGAGAAAAUCGCAUACUAGUCCCUGAUACUCCUAUCUUUAUUGGUUGGCCUUGGUAAGUUCAUAAAAUAUUGUCUUGUGUAUUUUAGUAAUGUUUUUUUUAUUGAAUUUUGUAUUUUGGGGAUAUUAAAUGUGAACUUAAAUGCUACAAUUGAUACAAGGUGAGAAAAUGAAUUGAGAUGGAAAUGUCUGUUAUAUGUAAUGAGCUCGGAUGAACAUAGGAUAUGAUACAAUUGGCAUGCCAAUAGGUUAUAUUGUGUGCUUUACGGGAUUGAUAUGUGCUGAGAUGAUGACAGAUGAUAUGAUAUUAUACAUUAAAUGUAUCAAAAUCCAUCAUUUGUUGUGGAUUACCGAGUUAUAUUUAUAGUGAUCUAGGGGAGGAUGUAAAGCCUACGAGCUUGGCAAUUGGUGCCCAGACGUGUUUCUAAAGGGAUGUUAGCCUUUGGGCUAGGCCUAAGCGCCCAGGCAUGUUCUCGGUUGGAUUAACUCGACUGAGCAUUCUAGCGUGUUUUUGGUGGAUAGUCGCGUAUCGAUAGUUCAUAUCAGUUCAUCGGGCUGAAUCUUAAUUGUUAAACAAUUUAAUGACUUGUAUGGAUAUAUGGUGAUGAAUCUUGAUGAAAAAAAUUGAAAAUGUGUUUAUAUUUAUAGAUGUUGUAUGAUGAUUUGAUAUUGAAUUAACUCGUUUACUUGAAAGUUCAUAUGGCUUGAAUAUGAAGUACCCACCUCUUGAUAUGGUUGUGGUGACAGGGUUAAGUAUAGUUAAUUGUUUGUUAUUUAAAAUUUAAAUAAAAGGUAUGUUAUAUUGUUUUAACCUAUGAACUUACUAAGCUCAAUUGAAGCCCACUUUGCUUUGUUUUUCUUUUUUUUUUUGUAGUUGUUGUGUUGCGGAACCAGGUAAUCAGAUCACACUAUCCAGCCAUUUUUUAGUAGACUUUGAAAAUGUUAUAUUUUGGUUUUGUGGCAUGUAAUAAGAGUAAUUUGUAUAUGAACUUGUGUGGUUGUAAUGUAUAUAUGUUGGUGUUUGCACAAAAUGAAGUGUGGUUAAUGGUUAAAUGGUAUGGUUGCUCAUGGUUUGAUGUGGUAAUCUUGAAUGUGAAAUUGAGCUUAGUAUAUGAUGAAAUAAAAUAGGUAAUCGGUCGGUUGAAAUAUGGUAUGAAAUGAAUUGCUAAGUGAGAUUUUGGUUGAACAUAAGGCAUAAUGGUUUUACAUUUGAUCUGGAUGUUAUUUAGGUGUUAUGUAUAAUGGUUAUUUUGUUAGCAAAUGCAUCGGUGAAUAUACCUUGGUAUGUGGUUGUUGGUUAGUGAUAGAAGUUAUGAUAUCUUUGAUGAUUCAUAUGGUAAUUGCUUAGCUAUGCUUAAUCUUGAAUGAUGUUUGUGAUGAUGUCUUAUGGCAUAUUGGUUAGGCAAUACUAGGAUGUAUUAUAUCAUGUUUUGGAUUGAGUUCAUGAAGUGUUUUAGGUAAGAAUUUAAAGAAAUUGUAAGGUGCUAUAUGUGUAUGUAUGUAUCCUUAAAAUGGUAUGUGAUUUGAGCAUAAAAUGAACUUUAAAACUCAUGAUUUUGACAAUUUUGAUAAAAGUAUCGAUGUUAGGGACUAAGGUAUCG